GACGAACGCUGGCGGCGUGCUUAACACAUGCAAGUCGAACGGAAAGGCCCUGCUUUUGUGGGGUGCUCGAGUGGCGAACGGGUGAGUAACACGUGAGUAACCUGCCCUUGACUUUGGGAUAACUUCAGGAAACUGGGGCUAAUACCGGAUAGGAGCUCCUGCUGCAUGGUGGGGGUUGGAAAGUUUCGGCGGUUGGGGAUGGACUCGCGGCUUAUCAGCUUGUUGGUGGGGUAGUGGCUUACCAAGGCUUUGACGGGUAGCCGGCCUGAGAGGGUGACCGGCCACAUUGGGACAGGGGUACGGCCCAGACGCCUACGGGAGGCAGCAGUGGGGAAUAUUGCACGAUGGGCGGAGGCCGGAUGCAGCGACGCCGCGUGCGGGAUGACGGCCUUCGGGUAGUAAACCGCUUUCGCCUGUGACGAAGCGUGAGGGAGGGUAAUGAGUAAAGAAGCACCGGCUAACUACGU
rnacentral:rRNA from 1 species